rnacentral:rRNA from 1 species
UGGGGAAUUUUGGACAAUGGGCGAAAGCCUGAUCCAGCAAUGCCGCGUGAGUGACGAAGGCCUUCGGGUUGUAAAGCUCUUUUGUCCGGAAAGAAAUCUCCCGGGUUAAUACCCCGGGUGGAUGACGGUACCGGAAGAAUAAGCACCGGCUAACUACGUGCCAGCAGCCGCGGUAAUACGUAGGGUGCAAGCGUUAAUCGGAAUUACUGGGCGUAAAGCGUGCGCAGGCGGUUUUGCAAGACAGAUGUGAAAGCCCCGGGCUCAACCUGGGAACUGCAUUUGUGACUGCAAGGCUAGAGUGUGUCAGAGGGAGGUGGAAUUCCACGUGUAGCAGUGAAAUGCGUAGAGAUGUGGAGGAACACCGAUGGCGAAGGCAGCCUCCUGGGAUGACACUGACGCU